rnacentral:rRNA from 1 species
AUGGCCGAGCAGGGGAGCAAGACGACGAGCUGGUGGAGGAGGUUCCGGUGGCUAUACGCGGUGCGGUGCACGUUGGCGUGCGUGGUCACCCUGGUGGCCGUGGCGGUGAUCGUCCGGGCGGUGGUGGUGAUGCUCCGCCCCGAGAAGCUCCAGCUGAAGCUCGCCGCCGGCCGCGUAGCUGCCAACUACAUACCGUCGCUGCCACCCCCGGGCAACAAGGUGUCGCUCAAGUUCGUCCUCAGGGCCUACAACCCAAGCGGGCGCGCCACCCUCGAGUACGCCAACGUCACCGUCCGGCUCACGGACGCGUCGUCGUCAUCUUCUUCGGCGGAGGCGCCUACAGCGAGGAUCGCCGAGUUUGACCUUCCGAAGCCCAUCGACGUGACGCAGCAGACAUUGAGCGAGGUGCUCGUGCCGUUGUGGCUGGUGCCGGAGGAGGACCUACCGAUGCGUUACGUGCGCGCGCUCUACGAGGGGCGCGGCGUGGCCGGCGCGGAGAUGGAGCUGAGAGGGAUCUUGUCCACCCACGUGGCGAUGUCCACCACAAGUGUCCUCACCACGUACUACUGCUGGCCGGUGACCAUCGCCGUCGGGCCGGGCGACUACGCCGCCGCCGACGUGCCCUGCUUCGACAAGUUGGACGCCCCGGCUCAUGUGUGA